AUGUCAGAGCACAGCAGCACCACAGAUGGGGAUGUGGACCCCCAGCAUGGCUUAUAUAUGCUGAUCCUGCUGAUUUUGGUCUUCUUUGUCAUGGGUCUUGCCGGCUUUCUCAUUUGCCAUAUCCUAAAGAAAAAGGGAUACCGCUGUAGGACAUUCAGUGAUGAAUUUGACUUUGACAACAAGGAAUCACUGACACAACUCCAAGAUGAUGAUGAUGAGGAUCUGAAUGAGGAUACUGUAGAAAAAAUAGUGAAAUGUAUCAUUCAAAAUGAAGCAAAUGUUGAAGUUCUGAAAGAAAUGCUUGGAGAAAGUGAUGCUGAUCUCCCACUGCCAGUGCCUGUACCCAGUGCUCUAUGCCCACAUCGCAGCAGCCAAGAUGGUGGCAUUCCUCAUCACCACACAGUGCACUUAGGUUCAACACAAGCACCUUGCAUUCAUUGCAGCAAGAAAAAGAGACCUCCCAUACAUCGUCAGGGCCGGUUAAAAGAGAGCAAAAGCAAGAUGCACCCUGGGGAAACAACAGUCUUUUCAGUUGGCAGAUUUCGUGUCACCCAUAUUGAGAAAAAAACCGUUUCCCAUGAAUCCCAGGAAGAAUCCUUUCAUGAGAACAAGCCGGAUGUAGCUGAUACAAACCAGGAGACUUAUAGCAAUGAGAAACUUCAAUGGACUGGGUCACAGAAUGGAAUUGUUCAUACAGAUGGAGUACAGGAAAGAAAAUUAGUUCAGCCAGAUUCUGAAAGACCACCAAAGGAGACUACUGUAGAUGAUUUAACUCAUUUAAAUUUAACAGCCAAUACAAAUAUAGCCAUCAAUGAAACAGAGGGAGGAUACCCUAAGGCACAUUCUUCACAAGAAGCAAUAAACUCUGCUGCUAGUUAUGCAACUGAGACUAACUCCACUCCAGGACCCAAAGAUCUUUCAUCAGAAGAGCUAGAGGAGGAUAAAAAAGCUGAACAGAUGGGCCAUCAGAGAGUAGUUUAUGAAGUAUCAGAUAACAAACAAGGACAAGUUCUUUCAAUAGGACCCGAACUGGAAAUUUGCUCAGUAGAGCAAGUGGCAUAAAGCAUCAGGUCCUACCAACUGCAUGCUCCUUAGCAUAAGUUGCUAAGGAGAAAGAUCCACAUGGAAUAGACCUCAGGCUUGCAAGCAUGAAGUUGCUACAUCAAAGCAGACUAAUCCUAGCUGGAAAAGCUACUCUCUACUUGGCGUGGUCAGACCACCAAAAGGACAUGCUACUGUUAUCAGUUCUAACUAAAGGCCUCAGCGCUUUUUGAAAGAUUUUUGACUUGAAGGCAAGUCAGAAUGUUCUUGGGAGCUGGGCUUCAAGUCAGUCUUGGUUCCUAGCAACUGCCUGGGGAUAUCCUUUUUGGCAAGUUUUCAGGAGUGGUUUGUUUGUGUAAUCAUUCUCUAUUUAAAUAUUUUCAUCUUAAGUCAUAUUAAAAAAAUACAAUUUUGUAGCCAUUUUUUGAGAUGCUCUAGGAAUUGCACCCAAAAUGUCUACAGUUGUUUGUAGCUCAGGGAUAUCCAGUUGUGCACUUCUGCUUUAAGAGCUGCCUUCAUAGGCCCAACAUUUAAUGUAAGAAUUUAUAUGGAAUUUUAAAUAUACUGAACUAUGGCUUUAACAAAUCAACAAAUACUUACAAAGAACAUGGACAAUAUCCUUCGAGUGUGUAAGCGAUGCUGAAUGCAAAAGAAAAAAAAAGUAGACAGAUGAAGCUGUAACAAUUUCACAGAAAAACAGGAAAAUAAAAAUUAGGACAAUCUGGAGAGUUUGUGCACAUAGUUCUUGCAAGAAAGAUAGAUAACCUAUCCUUUGUGAAGAAGUCAUCCAGCCAUCUAGGCAAAGGGAAGGUUAUGCAACAGAUGCAUUGAAAAGUGAAAUCUAUGUCACAUCUAUUGGUCAGAAAGGGCCUGCUUUAAAGGAAUAAAUGCUUAUUAUCAACUAGGUUCUUGCUUCAUGGGCAGUGGAUGGUGGGGGUACUGAUGGAUAAGGAGUAUUUAUUAUUUAUUAAGGUGGAACAUAAAAACGUAGUGUUCCUGCCAAUGACUAUUAGGAUAAUGCAACAGUUUGCAUACUGACUUAAUACAUGAAUUUCGUAUUAUGUCAUACAAUAAAGUGAUGCUCCUCGAGCCCACAUAAACUCAAAAUGACUGCAUGAUAUAAAUAAAAUGUAUGCCCUGUGUGCUUUGUAAUUCAUUCUUGUUUCAAAAGUUUGGCUUCCAAAUGGAACCUUACCAAGGUUUGAUUAACAGAGAGCAUGACUGGAUUACUGCUGUCUCCAUGUAGGGAAAUCAGAGGCAUGGUGCCAAACUUAGGCUUAGUCAAGUCAGAAGAAGAGCGUCGACGUACAUGAACUGGGCAGAUUCUGUCAUGCUACAUGAAAGGCAGGAAAUAAUUAUUUAGUGAUAGUAACAUUAACAGCAUGACUUGUUUAUCCAUUUCCUCUUCUCAUGCACAUAUUUAUAGUGUUAGUGUAUGGAGAUUGCCCACUUGAGUUCUGGAUUUUAUAAAUAGUCCUUAAAUAAUUUUAAACGUCAACCAAGGUUAUCCAUCAAUUCAGGGUGCAGUAUCAUCAGUACACUCUCUGUCAAAAGGCUACAUAAUCUAACAUAAAUUUUUCUGCAAUCAUAUAUUAUUUAAAAAACCUAAGUUAUAAUAUAAUUUUGAAUUAACUAUGUAUUUCUCAAUGUUUAAUCAAUACACUAUAUUAAAAGAGCAUCAGCAUCAGCAGCUGCAACUGAAGGAAAAAGAGAUUUACUACCUUUGUAUAUUUUUACACUAACUGUGAUUAUAUAUCAUAUGUGUGUGUGUGUACACACACAUACAUACACACACAUAUGUAUACAUACACAUACAUACUGUACAUACAUACAUACAGUGGUACCUUGAUACUCACUGUUAAUUGGUUCUGGGAGGCAUGAUGGACACUAAAAAUGAGUAUCAAACAAUUUUUUCUCAUAAGAAACAAUAUAAAUAAAUGUAAUGCAUUCCCGAACCAAAAAUGCACAUUUUAAGGCAAUAAGUAAAAAAAUAGGGUUGUAUAUCAUUACUUUACAUGAGAAAUAAGCCUAAAAAUUAAUAAAUAUUGUACUUAGAUUGAAUAAAAUAAAAACUUCACUUUUUCUGUACUGAGAAGAGGCCAUGUCCUAAUGAGAUUGCCCUGUUCCAAUCCACAUGCACAAACCCAUGGGGAGGUUUAAAGACUUUAUUAAGACAGGUCACACUUGCACCAACUGCAAAGUUCCCCUGAGUCCAAGUCUGCUCAGCCUAAGUGUAGGGUUAUAAAGUCUACAGGCAAAGGCACAAAUCUGCAAGUCCACACACACACAAGCACAAUCCAGAGUCUACACAUGACAUAUCCAAGUCAAGGUACAAAGUCCAAAAAGCAAAUCUGAAGUCCAAACAUGCAGCCACAUGAAGCACAGAUCUGAAGUCACAAAAACUGGAGUCACAGAGUUGGAGCACACGCAAGGCAGAGAAUACAGACAAUUGAUUUGACAUCACGUUGCUCCAUAUGUUGGGCUAAACAGGUGUGCACCAGUGUAACUCACUAGGAGAGACAAGGCUGCUGCCUCAUGAGUAGCCCUGCUGACUCCCUUGUGCCUCUCUCUGUUCAGCCCCUAUGUGUUCUAGGAUCUGGGGGAGGAAACAAUUCCUUCUCAUCCAUGCUGACUUUCCACCCUGUGUUUCUGACUGGGUCUCUGAGCCUCUAGUACAGCUGCAUCUCUCCCCUCUCCAGCCAGGCACUCAUCUGGUCAUUCCUCUGAUGGCCCCUCCAAGGUUCCUGGCCUCUCUUCUUUCUCUGACCCGUUCACUCCCUUGGUGUCUUCCUGAUAUUCCCCUGAGCUCUACUCUGAAGUCUCUUCAUCUAGGGAAGCCAUUACAGGGAUGGUAGGAGAAGAGCAAUGAGGAGGAGAGGUUGCAUGUAGGGUUGCUUGGAAGGAGAGUCCUGCUCCAAUAGACUAUUGGGCACUUGCACUUCAGGUAUUCUUUCUCUUUUCUGCCUUUUUUCAACUUGCAUCACAGGCUCUGACACACUCUUUGUCAGCUUCACUAAAAACUUAUCCAAUGAGGACUGUUUGUCUUCUUUUCAGAAUUCCUCGAAAGUGUGAAAUUGUUUGGUCAUUGAAUAAAUUCACAUUUUUACUUGUCAGAGUUUUGUCCAGAUGGUACUUCUCCACAGUUUUGAACUUCUGUCCAUUUUCCACACGUUUCUUAAAUCAAGGAAAUAGGGAUAUCCUCUCUUAUCUCCUUCUCCCCUGAAGAAAUUUCUUUAGUCACCUCUUGUUGCUUCUCCUGUAGUUCCUGCAGCUUCUCUGUGCUUCAUGGAUUAAUUCAUCAACAGCCUUUUUAUUAGUAUUUGCUGCCUUGCCAUGCCUCACAAUACUAUGGAUGCCAGUCUUUUUUUUUUUUUUUUAAAUUAUCAAACAACCAUGCUUGGCUUUAAAAACUUCAACACUUGCAACUCUGUCCCAAUUUGUUUUCGAAAGAUCGACAUACAACACUUUUUGCUUUUUCACAUAUCAUGCCUUUUGACACACUGUCACCUGCUAACUGCUUCUCAUUUACCUAAAUUAACAUCACUUUUUCAACUUCCUUGAAUGUUUGGGAAUGUUCCUUUAUUACUGCUUUAACUCAUUUCCUAACAUCAGCCUUUUUAAUUGCUUCUUUAUUCUUAAUAAUGGUGGAGACUGUUAUUUUAGGCAUAUUGUAUUUCCUAGCAAGAUCACUAAUGUGAAUAUCACUCUCAUAUUUGCCUAUUAUUUCUUUUCUCUUUUUUUGCUCAGUGGUGAUGCAAAGUAAUUUUCUUUUAUGCUCAGUGCUAUCAGUGUAAUUUUGUGUAAUCAAACAACAAAUGAGAAACCCCAACUAAAAGAAGAAGAUUGCAACCAAACUGAACAUAGUAAGGAACAAUUAACUAAUAAAGAAAAUUAACCAUAAUUCAUGAUUAUGAAUCAAAAUUCAUAAUCUUCCCUUGGAAGAAAGUGGAAAGACACCAAGAGAAGGGACAUCAUAAAGUACACCAAUGAUAGGAAAAAGUAUAUCGAUAGGAAGAAAAGUAUGAUAGAAAAAGAGUAGAUCAGACUUCCACAAGAAAAAAAAGGCAUGUAUUGGUGAUAGGAGGCUUACUACUCAGGGAAAUUAACCCAGCAAUUUGUAGACUGAACAAUCUUCCUAGGGAGGUUUGCUGUCUCUCAGGAGCAAAGAUCAAAGAUGUGACUGAGAGGCUUACUAAAAUAAUUAAGUAAACAGAUUGUUACCCCUGUUCCUUCUUUCAUAUGUAGACAAAUAAAAUGACAAAGAUCUGUUGAGAGAAAGUUGGAACUUUGGAUUCCUAGACCACUGUCUACAAUACCUAUAAUUGGUUAAUCCAACUGGCUGGCCUUAUCUGAAGGGCUUUAAACUAAAACAGGGAGGGAGGAGGCAGACCAAUUUUUAGAUAAAUCUCAAGGCAACCAACCAAGUAGCGAGAAAGAAGGGGAACUCAGAUAUAACACAGGAGAUGUAGAUAGCAAACACAAGAUCAGUCAAAAAGGAUUCAAAUGACUAUAGACUAAUGCUCAAAGUAUGAGGAGCAAACACGAUGAACUUGAAAUCCAAGUACAUGACGCAUAUAUGAUAUUAUUGCCAUUACUGAAACUUGGUGGGAUGAAACCCAUGACUGGAAUGUACAGGUAGAGAAAUUCAGAUUGUUGAAAAGAAACAAGCCUAAUAAAAGAGAAGGUGGAGUUGCAUUAUAUAUAAAAAAUAGUUACACCUCUAUGGAAAUGCAAAAAACCACCCAAAAACCCAAAGAUGAAAACCUUCUUCAAUGCAUUUGUGUUAAUAUAAAAAAAGAAUGACAUUAUCAUAGGUGUAUACCACUGACCACCUAACCAAAUAAAAGAAAUAGAACUUUUAGCUAAUGUGUGCAUGAAGCACACUACAAUAUAUUGGGGGACUUGAACUAUCAACUGGGAGACAAACUCUGCAUCUACUGGGAGAUCAAAUAUGUUCCUUAUGAAUUAGAAUAGGGGUGUUAAACUCUCGGCCCAUGGGCCAGAUGCAUCACGUGCUGCCCCCGCCCAGUUUAGCAUAGGGGAAAAAAGUCCCAAUAUGUCAUGUGACGCCGCCGUGACAAUGUGAGUUUGACAAUCCUGAACUAGAAGGUUUGCUAUACUGGAUUUAAUUCUCACUAACAGAUGAAAUGAUAGAGAGGGUGUUGAAGUUACAGGAACCUUGGGGGAGAGUGACCAUGAGCCAGGCUAAGAUUCGAUAUUGGGAUAAAACUCAAAUAUUAGAAAUCCAAAUCUUUGGUCAAGACAGAAGUGCCUCUUCCGUGCCAAGGUGCUGAGAUGACAAACGGUAUUUGACGUAGGUACAGAAUUGUAAAAGGGCAAACUGACCCUAAACAGAUACAUCCUGUUGUUUAAUGUUUAUUACACCCCAAAUGUCAUGUAGAUUCUAGAGAAGAAAUACUGCUUUCCUUACUGUCCUCUUUACUGCUUGUGAGACGCCUUUGAGCCCCUUAUCUCCUUUUUAUUAUGUCUUGAGCUCCGGAGCUGAGAACCUGAGCCUGUGGGAAAAGGGCUGUUAUGUCUUUCCUAGAGAUAGAUUAAAGGGUAACCUCUACGUGUGAAAUGUCUCACUCUUCGUAAUAACUUUGUCUUUAUACUGUAUAAAUAUCUGGCCAAAAGCGGCCAUCAUUGUUCAGACCCUUGGCUGUCUUUGGACUGUUUGAACCUUGCGCAAUAAACUCUUUCCUGCAUUGAA